rnacentral:rRNA from 1 species
GACGAACGCUGGCGGCGUGCUUAACACAUGCAAGUCGAACGGAAAGGCCCUGCUUUUGUGGGGUGCUCGAGUGGCGAACGGGUGAGUAACACGUGAGUAACCUGCCCUUGACUUUGGGAUAACUUCAGGAAACUGGGGCUAAUACCGGAUAGGAGCUCCUCCUGCAGGGGGGGGGGUGGAAAGUUUCGGCGGUUGGGGAUGGACGCGCGGCUUAUCAGCUUGUUGGUGGGGUAGUGGCUUACCAAGGCUGUGACGGGUAGCCGGCCUGAGAGGGUGACCGGCCACAUUGGGACUGAGAUACGGCCCAGACUCCUACGGGAGGCAGCAGUGGGGAAUAUUGCACAAUGGGCGGAAGCCUGAUGCAGCAACGCCGCGUGCGGGAUGACGGCCUUCGGGUUGUAAACCGCUUUCGCCUGUGACGAAGCGUUAGUGACGGUAAUGGGUAAAGAAGCACCGGCUAACUACGUG